rnacentral:hammerhead_ribozyme from 1 species
AUCAAGCUGACGAGUGCCGAAUAGGACGAAACGCGUGUCGUGGAU